UGGUUCCAGCAUCGAUGAAGAACGCAGCGAAAUGCGAUAAAUAAUGUGAAUUGCAGAAUUCAGUGAAUCAUCGAGUCUUUGAACGCACAUUGCGCCCCUCGGUAUUCCGGGGGGCAUGCCUGUUCGAGCGUCAUUACACCCCUCAAGCGUAGCUUGGUAUUGGGCCCUCGCCCCCGCGGCGUGCCCGAAAAGCAGUGGCAGUCCGGCGUGAUCUUUAAGCGUAUUUAAAACACCCGCUUCGAAGGUCUGCGCCGCGGCUUGCCAGACAACCCUUAUAUGCUUUAUUAAUUGACCUCGGAUCAGGUAGGGAUACCCGCUGA
rnacentral:misc_RNA from 1 species